UGUGUCAAAUACAUCUCAAAGUCACGAGAGAGGGUAGGAAAUAUAUAACGUAGGAAACCCGUGUGGUUUUGUUAUAUCUAAGGUUUGAACGCGCCCGGUGUAUGGAAGACGGGUGGAGCGCUUUUAUCAAGAAACUCAAGUUUGUCAAUGCAGCUGUCAUGUCAAAGCUCCGUCUCCGGUGCUUACAAGUGCUGCGAAAGCAUCAAAUGCAGCCUGGGUGCCAGGGGUGAAAGACGCUAGCUUCCCGGGCCGCUACAAGAGCCUCCUCUAAGAUCUCUUGUGGAGGGCUCAGUCUGUGUGCUGUAAUACAUGGAAGACUACUUUGACACAGAUAAAGGUAACGUGUUGAGGGUGUGAUAUUGUGAAUAAAAUUUCUUUUUAGUACACAGAAUCCUUGGUUUCCUUUUUCUUUCUUUCAACCCCCCUCCCCAACAAAGGUACCCAUGCUGGUUUUAGUAGUGGGCUAGGACGUAACGGUAGUAGCUUCGAUGUAAGUAACUUUUGUUAAGGCGAGGAAAAUUUAAUUUUCUCCUAUGUAAAAGAGCAGGUUGCAGAGUUCCCUCCCCCUCUAUAGCUGAGGAAAUAAAUGCACAUAAAUAGAAGACAAUCAGGGUGCAAUAUAUUCACGUUAUUCUCCUUUAAUUUCACAGUUCCCUACAUUUUUUUCUCCGAGAACAUUUGGUUGUAAUGUAAAAUGAGCGGAUGUGACUUUGACACCGUGUGCCCUCGCCUUGUAACCCGUGUUCCAGUCAAACCGUGCCGUUGGAGAUCAGUUUUCUCGGGGUCGAAUUUUAUUUUACCAGGCCUGGAAAUUGACAACGUCUGUUCUAAAA